rnacentral:rRNA from 1 species
UACGUAGGCAGCAAGCGUUGUUCGGAGUUACUGGGCGUAAAGGGUGCGUAGGCGGUCCUAUAAGUAUGGUGUGAAAUCUCCCGGCUUAACUGGGAGGGUGCGCUAUAGACUGUGGGACUUAGAGUGUGUCAGAGGGGGGUAGAAUUCCACGUGUAGCAGUGAAAUGCGUAGAGAUGUGGAGGAAUACCGAUGGCGAAGGCAGCCCCCUGGGAUAACACUGACGCUCAUGCACGAAAGCGUGGGGAGCAAACAGG